GAUGAACGCUCGCGAUAGGCUUAACACAUGCAAGUCGAGGGGCAGCAUGGUCUUAGCUUGCUAAGACUGAUGGCGGCCGGCGCACGGGUGCGUAACGCGUAUGCAACUUGCCUCACAGAGGGGGAUAACCCGUCGAAAGACGGACUAAUACCGCGUACACUCCAUCUUGGGCAUCCAAGGUAGAGGAAAUGAAAUUCGCUGUGAGAUAGGCAUGCGUCCCAUUAGCUAGUUGGUGAGGUAACGGCUCACCAAGGCGACGAUGGGUAGGGGAACUGAGAGGUUGAACCCCCACACUGGUACUGAGACACGGACCAGACUCCUACGGGAGGCAGCAGUGAGGAAUAUUGGUCAAUGGGCGAGAGCCUGAACCAGCCAAGUCGCGUGAAGGAUGACUGUCUUAUGGAUUGUAAACUUCUUUUAUACGGGAAUAACAAGAGUCACGUGUGACUCCCUGCAUGUACCGUAUGAAUAAGCAUCGGCUAACUCCGUG
rnacentral:rRNA from 1 species